rnacentral:rRNA from 1 species
UACGUAGGGGGCAAGCGUUGUCCGGAAUUAUUGGGCGUAAAGAGCGUGUAGGCGGCCAGAUAAGUCCGCUGUGAAAUCUCGAGGCUCAACUUCGAGCUGUCGGUGGAAACUGUCUGGCUAGAGUCCGGAAGAGGAGAAUGGAAUUCCUGGCGUAGCGGUGAAAUGCGCAGAUAUCAGGAAGAACACCCGUGGCGAAGGCGGUUCUCUGGGACGGUACUGACGCUGAGACGCGAAAGCGUGGGGAGCGAACAGG